GGUUAAGCGACUAAGCGUACACGGUGGAUGCCCUGGCAGUCAGAGGCGAUGAAGGACGUGCUAAUCUGCGAUAAGCGUCGGUAAGGUGAUAUGAACCGUUAUAACCGGCGAUUUCCGAAUGGGGAAACCCAGUGUGUUUCGACACACUAUCAUUAACUGAAUCCAUAGGUUAAUGAGGCGAACCGGGGGAACUGAAACAUCUAAGUACCCCGAGGAAAAGAAAUCAACCGAGAUUCCCCCAGUAGCGGCGAGCGAACGGGGAGCAGCCCAGAGCCUGAAUCAGUGUGUGUGUUAGUGGAAGCGUCUGGAAAGGCGCGCGAUACAGGGUGACAGCCCCGUACACAAAAAUGCACAUGCUGUGAGCUCGAUGAGUAGGGCGGGACACGUGGUAUCCUGUCUGAAUAUGGGGGGACCAUCCUCCAAGGCUAAAUACUCCUGACUGACCGAUAGUGAACCAGUACCGUGAGGGAAAGGCGAAAAGAACCCCGGCGAGGGGAGUGAAAAAGAACCUGAAACCGUGUACGUACAAGCAGUGGGAGCACGCUUAGGCGUGUGACUGCGUACCUUUUGUAUAAUGGGUCAGCGACUUAUAUUCUGUAGCAAGGUUAACCGAAUAGGGGAGCCGAAGGGAAACCGAGUCUUAACUGGGCGUUAAGUUGCAGGGUAUAGACCCGAAACCCGGUGAUCUAGCCAUGGGCAGGUUGAAGGUUGGGUAACACUAACUGGAGGACCGAACCGACUAAUGUUGAAAAAUUAGCGGAUGACUUGUGGCUGGGGGUGAAAGGCCAAUCAAACCGGGAGAUAGCUGGUUCUCCCCGAAAGCUAUUUAGGUAGCGCCUCGUGAAUUCAUCUCCGGGGGUAGAGCACUGUUUCGGCAAGGGGGUCAUCCCGACUUACCAACCCGAUGCAAACUGCGAAUACCGGAGAAUGUUAUCACGGGAGACACACGGCGGGUGCUAACGUCCGUCGUGAAGAGGGAAACAACCCAGACCGCCAGCUAAGGUCCCAAAGUCAUGGUUAAGUGGGAAACGAUGUGGGAAGGCCCAGACAGCCAGGAUGUUGGCUUAGAAGCAGCCAUCAUUUAAAGAAAGCGUAAUAGCUCACUGGUCGAGUCGGCCUGCGCGGAAGAUGUAACGGGGCUAAACCAUGCACCGAAGCUGCGGCAGCGACACUAUGUGUUGUUGGGUAGGGGAGCGUUCUGUAAGCCUGUGAAGGUGUACUGUGAGGUAUGCUGGAGGUAUCAGAAGUGCGAAUGCUGACAUAAGUAACGAUAAAGCGGGUGAAAAGCCCGCUCGCCGGAAGACCAAGGGUUCCUGUCCAACGUUAAUCGGGGCAGGGUGAGUCGACCCCUAAGGCGAGGCCGAAAGGCGUAGUCGAUGGGAAACAGGUUAAUAUUCCUGUACUUGGUGUUACUGCGAAGGGGGACGGAGAAGGCUAUGUUGGCCGGGCGACGGUUGUCCCGGUUUAAGCGUGUAGGCUGGUUUUCCAGGCAAAUCCGGAAAAUCAAGGCUGAGGCGUGAUGACGAGGCACUACGGUGCUGAAGCAACAAAUGCCCUGCUUCCAGGAAAAGCCUCUAAGCAUCAGGUAACAUCAAAUCGUACCCCAAACCGACACAGGUGGUCAGGUAGAGAAUACCAAGGCGCUUGAGAGAACUCGGGUGAAGGAACUAGGCAAAAUGGUGCCGUAACUUCGGGAGAAGGCACGCUGAUAUGUAGGUGAAGCGACUUGCUCGUGGAGCUGAAAUCAGUCGAAGAUACCAGCUGGCUGCAACUGUUUAUUAAAAACACAGCACUGUGCAAACACGAAAGUGGACGUAUACGGUGUGACGCCUGCCCGGUGCCGGAAGGUUAAUUGAUGGGGUUAGCGCAAGCGAAGCUCUUGAUCGAAGCCCCGGUAAACGGCGGCCGUAACUAUAACGGUCCUAAGGUAGCGAAAUUCCUUGUCGGGUAAGUUCCGACCUGCACGAAUGGCGUAAUGAUGGCCAGGCUGUCUCCACCCGAGACUCAGUGAAAUUGAACUCGCUGUGAAGAUGCAGUGUACCCGCGGCAAGACGGAAAGACCCCGUGAACCUUUACUAUAGCUUGACACUGAACAUUGAGCCUUGAUGUGUAGGAUAGGUGGGAGGCUUUGAAGUGUGGACGCCAGUCUGCAUGGAGCCGACCUUGAAAUACCACCCUUUAAUGUUUGAUGUUCUAACGUUGACCCGUAAUCCGGGUUGCGGACAGUGUCUGGUGGGUAGUUUGACUGGGGCGGUCUCCUCCUAAAGAGUAACGGAGGAGCACGAAGGUUGGCUAAUCCUGGUCGGACAUCAGGAGGUUAGUGCAAUGGCAUAAGCCAGCUUGACUGCGAGCGUGACGGCGCGAGCAGGUGCGAAAGCAGGUCAUAGUGAUCCGGUGGUUCUGAAUGGAAGGGCCAUCGCUCAACGGAUAAAAGGUACUCCGGGGAUAACAGGCUGAUACCGCCCAAGAGUUCAUAUCGACGGCGGUGUUUGGCACCUCGAUGUCGGCUCAUCACAUCCUGGGGCUGAAGUAGGUCCCAAGGGUAUGGCUGUUCGCCAUUUAAAGUGGUACGCGAGCUGGGUUUAGAACGUCGUGAGACAGUUCGGUCCCUAUCUGCCGUGGGCGCUGGAGAACUGAGGGGGCUGCUCCUAGUACGAGAGGACCGGAGUGGACGCAUCACUGGUGUUCGGGUUGUCAUGCCAAUGGCACUGCCCGGUAGCUAAAUGCGGAAGAGAUAAGUGCUGAAAGCAUCUAAGCACGAAACUUGCCCCGAGAUGAGUUCUCCCUGACCCUUUAAGGGUCCUGAAGGAACGUUGAAGACGACGACGUUGAUAGGCCGGGUGUGUAAGCGCAGCGAUGCGUUGAGCUAACCGGUACUAAUGAACCGUGAGGCUUAACCUU
rnacentral:rRNA from 1 species